rnacentral:rRNA from 1 species
UGCAGUCGAGCGGAACGAUCCUAGCUUGCUAGGAGGCGUCGAGCGGCGGACGGGUGAGUAAUGCAUAGGAAUCUGCCCGGUAGUGGGGGAUAACUUGAGGAAACUCAAGCUAAUACCGCAUACGCCCUACGGGGGAAAGCAGGGGCUCUUCGGACCUUGCGCUAUCGGAUGAGCUUAUGUCGGAUUAGCUGGUUGGUGAGGUAACGGCUCACCAAGGCGACGAUCCGUAGCUGGUCUGAGAGGAUGAUCAGCCACAUCGGGACUGAGACACGGCCCGAACUCCUACGGGAGGCAGCAGUGGGGAAUAUUGGACAAUGGGGGCAACCCUGAUCCAGCCAUGCCGCGUGUGUGAAGAAGGCCCUCGGGUUGUAAAGCACUUUCAGCGAGGAAGAAUGCUUGUCGGUUAAUACCCGGCAAGGGAGACAUCACUCGCAGAAGAAGCACCGGCUAACUCCGUGCCAGCAGCCGCGGUAAUACGGAGGGUGCGAGCGUUAAUCGGAAUUACUGGGCGUAAAGCGUGCGUAGGCGGCUUGAUAAGCCGGUUGUGAAAGCCCCGGGCUCAACCUGGGAACGGCAUCCGGAACUGUUAGGCUAGAGUGCAGGAGAGGAAGGUAGAAUUCCCGGUGUAGCGGUGAAAUGCGUAGAGAUCGGGAGGAAUACCAGUGGCGAAGGCGGCCUUCUGGACUGACACUGACGCUGAGGUACGAAAGCGUGGGUAGCAAACAGGAUUAGAUACCCUGGUAGUCCACGCCGUAAACGAUGUCGACUAGCCGUUGGGGUCCUCGAGACCUUUGUGGCGCAGUUAACGCACUAAGUCGACCGCCUGGGGAGUACGGCCGCAAGGUUAAAACUCAAAUGAAUUGACGGGGGCCCGCACAAGCGGUGGAGCAUGUGGUUUAAUUCGAUGCAACGCGAAGAACCUUACCUACCCUUGACAUCGUGCGACUUUC